CCCUUUUCUCGUCCGCGGAGGACAU
rnacentral:rRNA from 1 species